rnacentral:rRNA from 1 species
UACGUAGGCAGCGAGCGUUGUUCGGAGUUACUGGGCGUAAAGGGUGUGUAGGCGGUUCUCUAAGUUUGGUGUGAAAUCUCCCGGCUCAACCGGGAGGGUGCGCCGAAAACUGGGGGACUCGAGUGCGGGAUGGGAGAGUAGAAUUCCUGGUGUAGCGGUGAAAUGCGUAGAUAUCAGGAGGAAUACCGGUGGUGUAGACGGCUCUCUGGACCGCCACUGACGCUGAGACACGAAAGCGUGGGGAGCGAACAGG